ACUAUAUCUAGUGUUCAAGGUUCCUUCGAUUCGAGAGGAUCGAAGGCUAAGACGGGAAUCCGGUCGGGCUUUGCCCAAGCCGGAGCUGCCCCCGCAACUGUGAGCGGAGAGCGUUCGUUCCUUCAUGCCACUGGGCUUGCCCGGGAAGGCGGAGCGAGGGCUUCGACCCGCAAGCCAGGAGACCUGCCUUGGAUGUUGAUAUCCA
rnacentral:ncRNA from 2 species